GAUGAACGCUGUCUACAGGCUUAACACAUGCAAGUCGAGGGGAAACGACGGGGAAGCUUGCUUCCCCGGGCGUCGACCGGCGCACGGGUGAGUAACGCGUAUCCAACCUGCCUCUGACUGAGGGAUAACCCGUCGAAAGUCGGCCUAAUACCUCAUGGCAUCGUCUGCGGGCAUCCAACGACGAUUAAAGAUUUCAUCGGUCAGGGAUGGGGAUGCGUCUGAUUAGCUUGUUGGCGGGGUAACGGCCCACCAAGGCUACGAUCAGUAGGGGUUCUGAGAGGAAGGUCCCCCACAUUGGAACUGAGACACGGUCCAAACUCCUACGGGAGGCAGCAGUGAGGAAUAUUGGUCAAUGGGCGGGAGCCUGAACCAGCCAAGUAGCGUGCAGGAUGACGGCCCUAUGGGUUGUAAACUGCUUUUAUGCGGGGAUAAAGCGAGGGACGUGUCCUUCAUUGCAGGUACCGCAUGAAUAAGGACCGGCUAAUUCCGUG
rnacentral:rRNA from 1 species